UCAAUGUAUUUAUAUAGUAUCUCUUUUACAUAAGCAUUAUCAUUGUCCUCUGUUCUUUUGUUAUAAAAAGAUUUCACAAAAAAAAGAAAUUGAAGUGAUCUAGAAAUGGCUUCCAAUGGAGACAACCAUGCUUCUGCAAAACCACCACCAGAACCAUCGCCGUUGCGAAAAGCAAAAUUUUUUCAGGCCAACAUGAGAAUUUUGGUGACUGGUGUGCUGGAUUU